GAUGAACGCUAGCGGCAGGCUUAACACAUGCAAGUCGAGGGGCAGCAAGGGUAGCAAUACCUGUUGGCGACCGGCAAACGGGUGCGGAACACGUACACAAUCUACCUUUAUCUGGGGGAUAGCCCGAAGAAAUUCGGAUUAACACCCCAUAAUAUAUAUGAGUGGCAUCACUUGAAUAUUAAAACUCCGGUGGAUAGAGAUGAGUGUGCGUCCCAUUAGGUAGUUGGUAGGGUAACGGCCUACCAAGGCGACGAUGGGUAGCUGGUGUGAGAGCACGACCAGCCACACGGGCACUGAGACACGGGCCCGACUCCUACGGGAGGCAGCAGUGAGGAAUAUUGGUCAAUGGACGCAAGUCUGAACCAGCCAUGCCGCGUGAAGGAUGAAGGCCUUCUGGGUUGUAAACUUCUUUUCUUUGGGACGAAACCCCUGUUUCUACGGGGACUGACGGUACCAGAGGAAUAAGCACCGGCUAACUCCGUGCCAGCCGCCGCGUAA
rnacentral:rRNA from 1 species